CUUGAUCGAGCCGAGCCACAGCGGGCGGUCGGCGGGCCGGUCCUGCCCGUAGGUGUCGAGCAGCGCCCGCGCCUC
rfam:Streptomyces autolyticus strain CGMCC0516, complete genome.